GAGCGGAUGACAGGAGCUUGCUCCUUGAUUCAGCGGCGGACGGGUGAGUAAUACCUAGGAAUCUGCCUGGUAGUGGGGGACAACGUUUCGAAAGGAACGCUAAUACCGCAUACGUCCUACGGGAGAAAGCAGGGGACCUUCGGGCCUUGCGCUAUCAGAUGAGCCUAGGUCGGAUUAGCUAGUUGGUGGGGUAAUGGCUCACCAAGGCGACGAUCCGUAACUGGUCUGAGAGGAUGAUCAGUCACACUGGAACUGAGACACGGUCCAGACUCCUACGGGAGGCAGCAGUGGGGAAUAUUGGACAAUGGGCGAAAGCCUGAUCCAGCCAUGCCGCGUGUGUGAAGAAGGUCUUCGGAUUGUAAAGCACUUUAAGUUGGGAGGAAGGGCAGUAAGUUAAUACCUUGCUGUUUUGACGUUACCGACAGAAUAAGCACCGGCUAACUCUGUG
rnacentral:rRNA from 1 species